rnacentral:tRNA from 1 species
GCCCCGGUAGCUCAGACGGUAAGAGCAUUAAUUAUUGCCUUGGGGUCAAGCUGAUCACUGGACCCAAAUCAAAGGCCGUGGGUUCAAUUUCUGCCCGAGGCU